rnacentral:rRNA from 1 species
CCUACGGGAGGCUGCAGUGGGGAAUAUUGGACAAUGGGGGGAACCCUGAUCCAGCCAUGCCGCGUGUGUGAAGAAGGCCCUCGGGUUGUAAAGCACUUUCAGUGAGGAAGAACGCCUGGUGGUUAAUACCCAUCAGGAAAGACAUCACUCACAGAAGAAGCACCGGCUAACUCCGUGCCAGCAGCCGCGGUAAUACGGAGGGUGCGAGCGUUAAUCGGAAUUACUGGGCGUAAAGCGCGCGUAGGUGGCUUGAUAAGCCGGUUGUGAAAGCCCCGGGCUCAACCUGGGAACGGCAUCCGGAACUGUCAAGCUAGAGUGCAGGAGAGGAAGGUAGAAUUCCCGGUGUAGCGGUGAAAUGCGUAGAGAUCGGGAGGAAUACCAGUGGCGAAGGCGGCCUUCUGGACUGACACUGACACUGAGGUGCGAAAGCGUGGGUAGCAAACAGGAUUAGAUACUCCUGUAGUC